rnacentral:rRNA from 1 species
GACGAACGCUGGCGGCGUGCUUAACACAUGCAAGUCGAACGGAAAGGCCCUGCUUGCAGGGUACUCGAGUGGCGAACGGGUGAGUAACACGUGGGUGAUCUGCCCUGCACUUCGGGAUAAGCUUGGGAAACUGGGUCUAAUACCGGAUAGGACCGCACUUUAGUGUGUGUGGUGGAAAGUUUUUUCGGUGUAGGAUGAGCUCGCGGCCUAUCAGCUUGUUGGUGGGGUAAUGGCCUACCAAGGCGGCGACGGGUAGCCGGCCUGAGAGGGUGUACGGCCACAUUGGGACUGAGAUACGGCCCAGACUCCUACGGGAGGCAGCAGUGGGGAAUAUUGCACAAUGGGCGCAAGCCGGAUGCAGCGACGCCGCGUGGGGGAUGAAGGCCUUCGGGUUGUAAACUCCUUUCGCUAGGGACGAAGCUUUUUGUGACGGUACCUAGAUAAGAAGCACCGGCUAACUACGUG